GUGCUGACAAUACAAAUCCUGAUUCUAAGUGACUUGGCCAGAUUCCUAUCUGCAGAUCACCAGGAUUUUCUGGUUUCUGGGAUUGAACACGAGAAUUUCAACUCCAUUGGUCCCUAUCAUACCUCAUGCAGAUGAAUGAUUAGUCAGAGAAGAUCGUCUUCAGCUUCCUCGUUUUUCAGGUGCUCUGACUUUUGACCUUGCUACUGACAGAUGCUGCAGCUCACACCCAGCUCCGGCCAUCCUCCGUGGAACUCAGGUCACCUCUGGAAGUAAGAACUGUGGUCUCCGAGUCCUCUCUGCCCACAUCUUCUGCCCCUGGAUGGCGCCCCCUGGAAUCUGGCCAGACUUGUCUCCUGGGUAAGUGCCCAUGUGACCGUCCACACCGCCACACAUACCGUCCAUGGACACUGUUCUCCUGGCAAGGCCAGCAUGCUCUGCAGCGUGUGUCAGCUGCUUGGCGAAAUGACCUAUUGUCAUUGUCACGGUUGCUAUUCAGAUUAUAUUCGAGUUCACUUUGCCUUUCUGAAAAGUGAAGAUAAUAUUCCCUGACUUCCCUCCUCCCAGGGUUGCUUCAGGAGACAAACUGGUUAAUGUGUCACUCAAAUACAUGCUUAGGGCCCAACCAUCAAAGGUGGUCGAUUCAGGACGUAGGAGGGAACAUGCCGCAUCCCUCUGUGGAGUCAGGCUGGCUGGUUUGAUCCUGAUGCAAUCGCCAAGCAGUGAGCUGAUCUGGGUGACGUUAUGUAACUUUCCUGUGCGUGUCCAUCUGUAAAUGGAAGCAGCAGACGCCCCUGAAGUUCAGGGCUGUAGUGAGGAUGAUCUAAGAUGAGGCAUAGAGCUCUGCGUGUGGAUGCCUUGGCUAUAGGAAGCUUUCAGUGGAGGCUCUUAUUUGUAACAUGAAGGGAGACACCUGGUUUUAUUAUAAAACUCCACUGGAAGAAGGUAUCGUCUCUGUUUCUGGAACUCUUUGCUCAAUGAAGGGGAUCGAGUGUCUGGACAGGAUGCAGGGUCCAUUCAUUCAGGUCAGAAUUCUACAAAUGAUGGGGAAUCAUGAAACCGCCUAAGUAGGGGAGAGGUUUCUUAAGAAGAUAAGUCGGGUUCCUGUGCAUGGAGACUGUUCCAUGGAGACCAUGUACUGAGGAGGCAGACAGGUAGGAGCUGCAAUGGUACAAGAGCGGAGAAGCGGCUGGUUCUAGCA
ensembl:lncRNA